rnacentral:rRNA from 1 species
AUUGAACGCUGGCGGCAGGCCUAACACAUGCAAGUCGAGCGGAUGAAGGGAGCUUGCUCCUGGAUUCAGCGGCGGACGGGUGAGUAAUGCCUAGGAAUCUGCCUGGUAGUGGGGGAUAACGUCCGGAAACGGGCGCUAAUACCGCAUACGUCCUGAGGGAGAAAGUGGGGGAUCUUCGGACCUCACGCUAUCAGAUGAGCCUAGGUCGGAUUAGCUAGUUGGUGGGGUAAAGGCCUACCAAGGCGACGAUCCGUAACUGGUCUGAGAGGAUGAUCAGUCACACUGGAACUGAGACACGGUCCAGACUCCUACGGGAGGCAGCAGUGGGGAAUAUUGGACAAUGGGCGAAAGCCUGAUCCAGCCAUGCCGCGUGUGUGAAGAAGGUCUUCGGAUUGUAAAGCACUUUAAGUUGGGAGGAAGGGCAGUAAGUUAAUACCUUGCUGUUGUGACGGUACCAACAGAAUAAGCACCGGCUAACUUCGUG